UGUGGUAUAGCUCAGUGGUACAGCAUGUGCUUGGCGUGCACGAGGUCCUGGGUUCAAUCCCGAGUGCCUCUG
rnacentral:tRNA from 1 species